AGGAAGGGGGGGGGGGGGUAGAGGGUUAACAACAUGCUCAACUCUGCAACGCAGGGUUGGGCUAAAUCAUUUUCGUCUCUCCUUGGCUCUAAGCAUGACCUGUUGUUGACACAGUUUUUCUUACAAUAGCCAAAUACUUUCAGAUUACAUGAGCUAUUGCAGCACCACCUCAAAGUGCCAAGCUGUCUUCCUGGUUGUGAAUGAAGCACAAAGCAGCACAUUCAUCUUCACGGGACUGUGUCAUUAUGAUUGGCCCAGCCAUUUGAGCGAUCCGUCCGGUCCAGCGCCAGUGAUUCAGCGGGCUGGAAGCCACCGCGGCAGCCAUCGCUGCCUCCGCCUCCACCCCUCUUCCACGCAAACAGCUGCUCCUCUGUAACGCUGCGGAAAGCCCCUAGUCUAAAAGGCAAGUCUAGACCACAUCAGCAGAAGUGGUGCAUAUUUCCUAAUCAUCUUAAGAUAAAUAAGAAGCAGUUAUGGCUGACUCAUAUUUGACACACUCGCUUUCUGCUCCUUUUUUCUCUCUCUCUCUAUUUUUUUACUUUCACUCUAUAAGUCUGUGCAUGCCACGGUCUGAUUUCUGACGGGUGAUUCGGUGUGCAUUGGAUGAUGACUGUUUCACAUGUAGCCUGUGUGGGCGAGAGAAAGUUGCCGCAAAAGAAUUCCACAGCGACUUCCAAGGAGGGGUGAGGCAACACUCUCUCAAGGCUAAAAAAAAAAGGAGGCCGAGUCCGCAACCAGAAACGCCACAGAGGGAUUUGUUGUUACAGGCAGUUGCGAUUGCGUCUCACAAAUGAGGAAGUGAGAUAUGUUGUCACGUAGCAGCAGCAGCAGCAGCAGUAGCAGAGGCAGCCACAGCAGUUCGACUCAACGCGUAGAGCACUACCUCGCCCAUUCGCGGAAAAACAGACUGUGCAAUCCAGUUGGCUGCCGGCCAAAGAUCACAGACAUGCACCGGACAGAGAGGCAAGAGCAAGCCUGCCUACACUGAAUGCCUGCAUGAUUCACCUAAACGGAACACACAAUCAAAUUGGCAGAUGCCUUGGAGCAGAUAUUACCAUGGCACACCUUUUGUAGGCCUAUAUGUCAACAUUGUUAUUCUCAUUGUUUCCUUGUACCUUUCAGUGGCCUAUUUCAGAAUAGGUCUCUAUUGUAGGAUAAAAAGGUUAGUAGGAGGUUAUUAUUUGUGAUGAUGUUAAUCUGUUUGAGUCAUUAUGCAGGGGGGCAAGUUGUUGAAAUAAGCACUCACGACCAGCUGGUAUGAGUUGAAUAAAUAAAUAAUAUGUCUUUAAGGAUGAUAAUCUC